AUUGUUUCUCAGCCUUUUGGCUAAGAUCAAGUGUAGUAUCUGUUCUUGCCAGUUUAAAGUCUAUCUGUCAGAUGUAAGUAGAGCCAUCCCCU
ensembl:snRNA U2 U2 spliceosomal RNA